rnacentral:lncRNA from 1 species
AAGCUUACAAAAAGUCAUUCAAGACUACUACUGAUCAGUUAACCUUAUGAUUGGAACCUUGCAUUCAGACAUUCAGGGGCCUUCCCUGAAAGCCACACAACAAAACAUUGUAAAUUAAUUAAACAAUGAGGCCAUUGGAGUGAGGUGGCCCUAAUGCCAUGUUGGCCUAUGUAAGCAAACCAAAAUCUAAGACUGUAAAUACUCAAGGUUAUGCAACUGAAACAGAAGGAGAACCAAUCACAAAGAGCCAACUAGGCUUUAAACUAUAGCCAGUGAAUAAUUUCCUUACUUUGCUCCUGCCUUUUCUCUAUGAAAGUCUUUCCCUGAACUCCUGUCUGUGGAGUGCUCCUAACCACUUCUGCUUUGGUACUGCCUUAUUCGAACAAAUUUUUGUUCAACCCUUAAAAGUUUUAAUACGCCUCAGUGUAUCUUUUAAAAGUAGGAAGCAUGGUCAUGGAAAAAUCUUGAAGGAAGGGCAUUGCAUUCAGCAUAUCUCUCUGUCUUGUAUCACUCAGGGUUGAUCUUGGAUCUGAUCUGUGACCCAAGAACAAAAAGGAUUUGGGGCUGGGCUGAUUUUCACAAAGGCAAGCUACCAUCUCCUACUAGAGUUAUCUGGGGUGAACCACACUAGGAAUGUUUUUGAAGUGGUAUGCUCAUUAAAAAAAAAAAAAAAUCAAAACCAGAAGAAAUCAUAGGAGUAGAGCAUUUCAAAUCACUUCUGUUUAUUUAGGCAGGUUGUCACCACUGUGCUGGCAGAGGUUUCACUUUUUCAGUUUGGAAUUAAUCCCCUGAAACCAGAGCUAGCCUCUUCGGAUGUUCAAUAAGAGUGUUCAAGGAAUAUACCAUGAAUGUGGGGAGGGUAUAUGAAAAAAACCCAAACACUGGUCUGGAGAAGUUCAUAAUUUCACAGUCAAACUAGUAUGUAAUCAAAAUAAAUGUAGACUUACACAUAUAGUAAUCGCUGAUGUGUAUGUAGGGAGAGUGGCGAAUAAGAAUGGAGCUGAUGGGUUGAAGAAAAGGCAGAGUGAGGUGUUGAAAGCUGCAAAGACACAUGUUCUUGACCCAACCUCCUCUUUCCUGAUUUUUCUCAUUUAGGCUCCAAGGGAGGCUGUUAACUACCAGCUGAUGAACAGCCACAAAAUACUUUGGAAAGAACUUUGAAGAGGUGUGGACCAACAACCAUUCAGUAGAACUUUCUUGCGAUGAUGGAAAUAUUCUGUGCACUACUGUAGCCACUAAUCAGUGAGGGUAGUGACCACUUGAAAAGUGUAAGUGGAACAGAAUUAUUUAAUUAAAUUUAAAUUUAAAUAGCCAUAUGUGGCUGGUGACUACUGUACUGGACAGCACAGGUCAAGACAAUGCUUUCCUCUGACAGUCAGUCAUCUCCUGAACAGCAGGAACUAGAGAAAUAGACAAGAACAUGGGCUGAUGAGAGACUACGUGGCUUAGACAGUAAAAGCAAACUCAAAGGCUGCCAUUUGUGUAAUGAAGGCCCACUUAUCAGUCAGGGCCCAGUGUGGAGGUGGAAACCACACCAGCUAUUUGUUUGUUUGUUUGUUUUUAUUAAAGUGAAAUUGUCAUAACAUAAAAGUAGUCAUAUUGAAGUGAACAAUUCAGGGGCGUUUAGUACAAUAUGGAACCAAGGGAUUGGAAUUAUUAAAGAUUAGAAUUAUUAACGGUGCCUGGGUAGCUCAGUUGCAAGUUAAGCGACCGACUUCAGCUCAGGUCGUGAUCUCGAGGUUUGUGGGUUCGAGCCCCACAUCAAGCUCUGUGCUGACAGCUCAGAGCCUGGAGCCUGCUUCAGAUUCUGUGCCUCCCUCUCUCUCUCUCUGCCUCUUCCCUGCUUGUGCUCUCUCUCUCUCUCUUUCAAAAAUAAAUAAACAUUAGGGGCACCUGGGUGGCUCAGUCGGUUGGGUGUCCAACCUGUGUCAGGCUCUGUGCUGACAGCUCAGAACCUGGAACCUACUUUGGAUUCUGUGUCUCUCUCUCUCUCUCUGCCUCCCCCCCUGCUCAUGUUCUCUCUCUGUCAGAAAUAAACAUUAAAAUAAAUAAAUAAACACUAAAAAAUAUUAGAAUUAUUAAAACUUAGAAACUUGCAUGAGCCCUGCAGAGUUGAAACUCAGACCUCUGUGGAGGGUCUAUUGCUUGGUUGGUCCUGGAGCCUUUGAGGGAUGCUUGAGGCUGGUUCUGAAUAUACUGGAAAAGUCACAACUGUAGUCAAAGCCUGUUAAUGGGAAGGAGCUGCUGCUCCUGGGAUGAAGAGGUGGAGUUGGGAACAGCAAGAAGAUGGGAAGCCUAUAGGAAGCAAUAAGGAAGGACCAUGUCUCUUUUCCCUCCUUCACCUUUUCAGCCUCCCCUAACUUCCCCCACCCACCACCACUGGAAAAGCCUAAACAGGGAGUUAGCUGGCAAAGCUGAUGUGUGGUUUGCAGAAUGCCAGCCCUAGCAUCACAAAUCAGAGCAUAGAAGAGUAGUUUUGGAGCCAAGACAAUUAUUUUUUUUUUUUGAGACAAUUAUUUAACAAUUGACACAGGCCAUUAAAGAAGAAGACUCAAGGCUGCACUGAUACAGCUUGGGUACACAGCAGGAAAUGUGAAGCACCCAGAUACAGUUCUCCAUACCAGCUUGGAGUUUCAUCCUUCUUUCAUUCUUUGCUGGGUGUAAGAAAAGGAUCUCUCAAGCCAAGGCAGAAUGAAGUAUAAUAUAUUUUAUCACAUUUACAUUCUCCAGAUUCUUUGCACAUGCUGGUCCCUCUGAAAAAUUCUUUUUUCCCUUUUGCUAACUGAUCCCAGAUCAGGGCAAGUCUAGAUGAAUCCUGUUUGUUAUAGACCUUUACACAACUGUAUUUCUUUCAGACUAUUAGUUUGUUUGUAAUUAUAAAUUUAUUAGUGUGUUUACUGGUAUCCUCCCAACUAUAAUUGUGGGGUUUUUUUUGGAGCACUUUUAUAUUCUCAGUGUCUGAUACAGUCCUGGCACAAAGGCAGAAACAAGAAGUUAUGGUUGAAGGAAAGACUGCAUAGUAUUAUGGAAUAUGGAGGUAGCAUAAUAUAUUUCAUCAGUUUAUAACAUAUUUGAUCAUAUUGAGGGAUAUGCAAGUUGUUUAUACAUUUUCUAUAUUAACAAAUACUUGAUAUUAACUUUAAAAGCUCAAUUAAAAAUACGGUAUUAUUCCUGCUAUUGGAAGUUCAUGGAUCUGAGUGUUUUGGAAACAAUAAUAGCAUAACCUGAUUACUUCAGCAAUUUCUUUUUUUUUUUUUUUUAGGUUUAUUUAUUUUUGAGACAGAGAGAGACAGAGCAUGAACGGGGGAGGGGCAGAGAGAGAGGGAGACACAGAAUCAGAAGCAGGCUCCAGGCUCCGAGCCAUCAGCCCAGAGCCUGACGCGGGGCUCGAACUCACGGACCGCGAGAUCGUGACCUGAGCUGAAGUCGGACGCUCAACCGACUGAGCCACCCAGGCGCCCCAGCAAUUUCUUGAACUAGACAAGAAACAAACUAGUAUAUAAUAACUAAAAGGGAAAUUUAAUCAAUAAAUCAAUAGUGCCAAAUAGUACCAAAUGCAAUGAUUUAGUAUCAACAAGGGAAGCAAAUAACAAAGAAGUUAACAUUUUAUUUUGAAUCAAUAUAAAUGUAUACAUUAUUAUUAUUAUUAUUGAUUCAGAGUUUGAGUAGUCAUUGUCAUUAUGUUUGAUGGCAUGAAACUUGUUAUCUUUUCAUGGGAUGGCACACCUGGUAGGUAUUAGCAUUUUCAAUCUUGUUAGGAUUAUUUUGACUUAACUGGGAGAAAAAUAUACACAAGACUACAUCCAAAACUGUCAACACUCAUAAAAGAGUAUGACAAUAGGUGUUAAAUUAAAAUAUGUAUUUUCUUUGAUCUUGAUGCCUUUGCUUUUGGAA